rnacentral:rRNA from 1 species
GAUGAACGCUGGCGGCGUGCCUAAUACAUGCAAGUCGAGCGAACAGAUAAGGAGCUUGCUCCUUUGACGUUAGCGGCGGACGGGUGAGUAACACGUGGGUAACCUACCUAUAAGACUGGGAUAACUUCGGGAAACCGGAGCUAAUACCGGAUAACAUUUGGAACCGCAUGGUUCUAAAGUGAAAGAUGGUUUUGCUAUCACUUAUAGAUGGACCCGCGCCGUAUUAGCUAGUUGGUAAGGUAACGGCUUACCAAGGCAACGAUACGUAGCCGACCUGAGAGGGUGAUCGGCCACCCUGGAACUGAGACACGGUCCAGACUCCUACGGGAGGCAGCAGUAGGGAAUCUUCCGCAAUGGGCGAAAGCCUGACGGAGCAACGCCGCGUGAGUGAUGAAGGGUUUCGGAUCGUAAAACUCUGUUAUUAGGGAAGAACAAACGUGUAAGUAACUGUGCACGUCUUGACGGUACCUAAUCAGAAAGCCACGGCUAACUACGUG